rnacentral:misc_RNA from 1 species
GCUUAGCUGCGUUAGCGAUUGUAGUGAAAUAUUUAUUUCAUGAGUAGAUAAUUUAAAAUAAAAACUCACGAAUAAAAACCCACAGUAGGGCACGAACGAGGACUUGCAACGUAAAGCGCGACCCUUG